CACCACUAGACUAAGCUCAGACGAAAGCUGGCAAGAGAGGAAGCUAUAUUGGAGGCUGGGAGAAGUGCCCCAUAUGAAUCUAGGUAAGACGUUCAAACAGUCUGACUACAUACACUAGGGGUUGUGUUGGGGGAGGGAGCCAAGGCUCUGCUGGCACCAUAACCAGUACAGCAUACUGUAGUGGUAAUGCGGUUUGGCGAGUUAAUUUAUGCGCUCAAGGUGGCAGAACAAUCCAGUCAUUUGAAGACAUUUUGAAUGGCACACUUCCAUAUACUAUGCUGAUGUUGUAGCAAUUAGAAUACACAGCCAUGCUGUAAGAUAUCAGUGGAACAAAGCACAAAACGUCUCAUUUUUUGUUUACUCCACAAUAAAGUCUACCUGUUGAAUAAACUAUUUGGUGUGUCCAAACCUACUUUUUUGUUCCACUGUAUUGUUCUGGGCUGGAACCCUCCCUGUUUUGGAGCACCCUAGUGGAAGUACUCCCCAAAAUGUGUGUGCAGAAGGUUCUCUGAAACUAUGGCGGCGCUCUGGUAGUACAUUAAUAACUUAAUGGUGGUGAGUAAUAAAUAAACUUACCGAUAUAAAAAGUCUGCUAGCUCAUUAGGGCAGGAUAUAGGAAGCACUCUGCGUGACAGUGUUA